rnacentral:lncRNA from 1 species
UCCUCCACCUUUAAUUGCGUUUAGUAGUCAAGUGGAUUAACUUCACUCACACGCAAUUUUUAUAAAUCCUAAGUUCAUUCAUAAACCCUAAGUUCAUCUAUAAAUCCUAAGUUCAUCCAUAAAUCCUAAGUUCAUCCAGAAACCCUAAGUUCAUCCAAAAACCUUAAGUUCAUCUAGAAACCCUAAGUUCAUCCAAAAACCCUAAGUUCAUCCAUAAACCCUAAGUUCAUUCAUCCUAAAUUUCCCUUCAUCAAUCAUCCAUCCCUUAAAUCUCAUUCAUCCUAUAACAUUCAUUCAUUCAAAGUUUGUUCAUCCAAUUUUCAUCUAAAGAUUCAUUCAUCCAACCAUAAGUCAACUUAUCAUCGAACUGACAAUUCGUGUAAUUGACCUAAUUCAUCUAAGAUUCAUCCUAAAAAUUAAAGAAAAUUGGAAGUCGCCACCUUCCAAGUCAUGGUAGCGACCUCCUUGCACGAAUUCCACUACAAUGGUUGCAUCACUAACUUGUUUAUAACAAGCUUUGCUAUUUUAGAAAGUAGACUUACAAGCGCUUGUCCUCUAAUAAAAUUCAAUGCAAAACAACAAUUAAGCUAAGAGAAAUCUUGCCUCAAAGUUGCCUGACUUUCUCGGCCUCGUCAGAGCACCCCUGGCCACAAAAACCCUUGCCCUUGCUCCAUUCCAGUUGUGCAACACAUAUGUUUUAGCAUUCUAGAAACUAGAAUUGAAGCCGCAUCACCUCCAACAAUUUUUUCUUGAAAAUGUUGAGUGAAUUCCAAGAUAUGACCUUCCAAAGUAGCUUGAGUUGGCGGAGUGCUACAUCUUCACCACGGCCGACUCCUCUUCACUCCAACCACCAUAACUUCCUUGGCCUUUACUCAAUCUAAGCGUGCAAAUAGUCCUUGCAAAGCUGACAACAAGAACCAUCUCCUACAAAAGUUUCAGCUCCAAAUUCAAUACUGUCCGCCAACACUCGCCUUCCAAAGUCGGACCUCCAGAUCUGGCCGGCAGCUGACCUCCUUGUCACUAAAAUCACCACAACUUUCUUGUUUUCUUUCCAAACAAAGCGUGCCUACUGUCCCGAGGAAGCCAACGACAAGAUCUAGCUAUUGGUAAAGUUUGACGUUCUAUUUCCAGAUAACUAAUACACUACAGCUGCGCAAUUGCAGCUCUAUAGAAACAAGGGUACGUGGGGAUGCAAUUUGGCAUGGCUUCGCCCCAGAAAAAAAAAAAAAAAAAAAAAGAGAGAGAGCGAGUG